UACGAAGGGAGCUAGCGUUGUUCGGAAUCACUGGGCGUAAAGCGCACGUAGGCGGACGUGUCAGUCAGGGGUGAAAUCCCGGAGCUCAACUUCGGAACUGCCUUUGAUACAGCACGUCUUGAGUCCGGAAGAGGUGGGUGGAAUUCCUAGUGUAGAGGUGAAAUUCGUAGAUAUUAGGAAGAACACCAGUGGCGAAGGCGGCUGACUGGUCCGGUUCUGACGCUGAGGCGCGAAAGCGUGGGGAGCAAACAGG
rnacentral:rRNA from 1 species